ACUUACAUUAGAGAACGACUUUUUUAAGUUUUAAGCACGUCCAAAACGCUGGAGGAAAAGUAUUCCGCUGUGAAAGGGGGGAGAGAUUCCUUUGCGGUGAAUUUUUUUCUUACCAUACACAGCGCCGAAAACGACAGCGCGUGGAUGAACUCAAAUCAAUUAGGAGGAAACAACCGAAGUAGCAAGAGAGAGCAUGAUGGACCCUUUGUGUGCGAGCCGUAGUAGAAGGCAUACAGUCCAGUCCCACUCAAGCCGUUCUCCAUCUCUCAGGCGGAGCCUCUCAGAGUAGAACACAGGUUCUGGAUCAAAUGGAUCGAUACCGACGCGGAGUGGAGUGGAGUGGAGUGAGACGAGCAGAGCGCAUUGAACAGAACGGAGCGGAGCGUCGGCAUCGGCUUUGCGCGGGUUUAAUUCACUAUCUGGUUGUUAGGGACGUUGAAUGGGUUGGGGGUGCGGGGGCAACGCCCCGCGGUACGGUACAGGGGUAUUUUCUGUACGGAUCUUAAAGUUUUAUAUGAGCUCAGAUUAGGGUUAGUAUAAAUAAUAUAUUGUAACCCUAUUUUUCACAACUGAAUAAAGAAAUCUCCACUUCGCUCU